rnacentral:rRNA from 1 species
UGCUUGGGAAUAUGCCUUAGGGUGGGGGACAACAGUUGGAACGACUGCUAAUACCGCAUAACGUCUACGGACCAAAGAGGGGGAUCUUCGGACCUCUUGCCCUUUGAUUAGCCCAAGUGAGAUUAGCUAGUUGGUAAGGUAAUGGCUUACCAAGGCGACGAUCUCUAGCUGGUUUGAGAGGAUGAUCAGCCACACUGGGACUGAGACACGGCCCAGACUCCUACGGGAGGCAGCAGUAGGGAAUAUUGGUCAAUGGGAGGAAUCCUGAACCAGCCAUGCCGCGUGCAGGAAGAAGGCGUU